UAUUGAUUAGCACUACGCUAGCCUUAUUCGACAAAGUAGCUCAACUCGUUUCAGAACAGCGACCAAUCGGUCAUUUAGAGACAGGCAUGCAUUCUACGGCAGGGAUGCCUUUUUCGGCAUAGCACGUGUUAUCAAGUCCCUCCUCGUCUGUCGCUGCUCGCGAUGCCGCGGUCCGCCCGGCGCUACAAUAUGACAAAUUGCAGGCUCCAGGACAAUGAGUCGCUCCUUCCUAUGACACCGUGGGCACCGGGAUGCCUCUGAACCGGUCCAUCAGGUCCAGCCCACCGAAGAAGUUGACAAAGAUGAUGCCCAGCUUGGCUGGCAUGAAACUGAAAGCACAAAAAUAACACCACAAAGAAGUGCUGCAUAUUUUUUUGAAGAUGAACUACGGUUGCGUCGUUGACUGAUGGGUACAGAGCUCAACUAUUCAUUUAUAAAGGUGAAAAUUAAUUUCCUGCGAAGUCCUACACUGAAGAACCUGGGCUGAAUUUCUCUCACCAUGAUGCCAUUUUCAAAGACCUGCUCACAUUUAAAUGCACGUCUUGAUAAAAGAAGUUUCAGCAAUACAAUGGAUUAUAAAUACAUUUCUGACCUUGCAUUAAUUAUUUUGUUUAUAAAUGUUUUGUGGAAUGCCUAAAAAUACAAUUUUAACCCUGCAAGCAGUUAUAAUGUGCAAUAAACAUAAAAUUCAGAAUAA